UACAGAGGUCUCAAGCGUUGUUCGGAUUCAUUGGGCGUAAAGGGCGCGUAGGCGGCGGGGUAAGUCGGGUGUGAAAUCUCAGAGCUCAACUCUGAAAUGGCACUUGAUACUGCUCUGCUAGAGGACUGGAGAGGAGACUGGAAUUUACGGUGUAGCAGUGAAAUGCGUAGAUAUCGUAAGGAAGACCAGUGGCGAAGGCGAGUCUCUGGACAGUUACUGACGCUGAGGCACGAAGGCCAGGGGAGCAAACGGG
rnacentral:rRNA from 1 species